UACGUAGGGUCCGAGCGUUGUCCGGUAUUAUUGGGCGUACAGGGCUCGUAGGCGGUUUGUCGCGUCGGGAGUGAAAACACGGGGCUUAACCCCGUGCCUGCUUCCGAUACGGGCAGACUAGAGGUAUGCAGGGGAGAACGGAAUUCCUGGUGUAGCGGUGAAAUGCGCAGAUAUCAGGAGGAACACCGGUGGCGAAGGCGGUUCUCUGGGCAUUACCUGACGCUGAGGAGCGAAAGUGUGGGGAGCGAACAGG
rnacentral:rRNA from 1 species